ACAGGCUUAUACUAAUGAGCUUGAGAGAGUUGUCAAGCAAUUGGAGACAGAAAAUAAGUUGUUUAGAGAAGAAGAGGAAUCUCAGAUGGAGGGCUCUGGCGAUUUUGGUGAAGGUCUUUACCAAGAGAGAUCAGUGUUGACUCCAUAUUUUACACCAUAUUUGAAGAAGGUAAAGCCAGAUUCUGGUAUUCAAUCUGUCAAUUUGGAUUUCUCUCCUAGCUCGGGUGGGGUUAGCUCUGACGUUUCUGGGAAGGAAGGAUCUGGAUCACCUUCGUUACCCUCUUUGGAUUCAGAACCUGAAUCUUUUACCAAGUCUGUAAUCCGUAACCAGGGCACGCCGGUGAAUACCGAUGAUGAGGAACCCUCUAAAGGUAAGCUGAAAGCAGACACUACUGAUAUGGAAAGAUAAAGCCAUUUUCUUGGAGACAGAGAAAAUAGAAGUUAUGAUGAGUUGCUUAAGAAGUUUAUAAAAAAUGAUGAAGAGCUAAGAGUUUCCAAUUUAAAACCUCAACUGUCUGAAGAAGAGACUAUCAAGUUGAAGAAUCAAAUUGAGAAAAUUGUGAAUCAACUUGAUAAUGUGAUGAAAGAAUUAGAACUGAAUAAGGAUGAACUUAAAUAUAAAAAUGGACAGGUACAGGAGUUGCAAAAUCAAACAACUGAGUUGGAGACUCAUGUUUCAGAUUAUUGCACCAAGAUUGCAAAUUCGGAGGAACAAUUAGAGGUAGCUAAUGAACACCUCAAGAUAUCAAAUGAUGAUAUUGCAAGAUUAAGAAAUGAACUUGAGAAUAGGUCAUUUGAGACUCAUUAAUUGUAAGGGCAUCUUGAAAUGGCACAUGAAAAUGUGGCAAAAUUGGAAUGGCAGCUUGAUUCAGGAGAAAAGCAGUUCCGAGAGUUAGAAGACGGGGUUGCAUGCUUUAAAGCUAAUGAAACUAACCACCAACAUGAGAUGCAAAUAAUGAAGGAGGAAAUGCUUGAAAACCUUUGUCUGUGUUUGCAUUUCCGAAUUUCUCUCGCUUUAUGAAACCGAAAUAUUGGUUCAAGAACUCACAAAGUUUGAGAUUGACACACACAACAUCAUCAUUAAUCAAGUAAUCUUCGAUGAUGAAGAUGUUGAAUCCAAGUUACUUAAAGCAAUCAAUCGAUUUUUGUUACAACAGAAGCAGAAACUGAUCAAAGGAUGGGAACAACAAAGGAUUGUACUUUAAUUUAACCACACUUCUGUUAUGUAGAUUUGAUUAGGGACUAAAAUUUAAUUUGAUAUGGGACUAAAAUUUAAAAAGAAUUCUGGGUAGAAAUACUGUGUAGGUUUAUGAUUUCAGAUCAAAGUCAGCUGGAUUCAGAGCCACCUUCUCCAGUUAUGUCAAAGAAAGGGAUCGGAUUGAGUGUAGUUGUUCGCAAACCUGCAAUGGUUGCAUCAGUAGCAGCAAAACAUGCUUAUGCUGCUGCCUCUUCCUCUAGCUCAAAUUUUGAUGAAAUGAUACCGUUGAAAAGACGGCUUCAAAUAUUUUAGGUUCAAUAAUCGUUUUAGGGAUGAUGUAACUUAAGUACUGUAUUCACCACAAAUUCAAAAGAUAAAUGAGGAACAGAAGAAGCAAAUCCGCAAAAAUGAAUGUGCUCUUAAAGUUGCUGAGGUAUGUGAGACUACGACUACAUAAAUUUUGUGUGAACGUUUUUCGUAUUUGAAUUAUAUUGUAUCUACACUGCAUUGAUGAAUUGUGUUUAUGUGGUUUUGUUUGGGCAAAAUUGAGAUUUGAAGAACAAACCAAACACGAAGGUCUCAAUCGAUGGAGUAAGCUUCAAUCCACUUGAUUAGUUUAUCUGGUUUGAAUUGUAAGGAUCACCCACUGAUCGCGACGUUAAUCUAAUUGGCAGUGUUAUUCAAGCAUGGUAUGUUAACCGGAAAUCUGCCGAGGCUGUAAUGUGCGGCCUUCUUCCAAAUUCUCCAACAGCUACAUCAAGCAGAACUGAUAGUAAUGUUAACUACAUAAAUUCCAGUUUUAUUAAUAUAUUUUAACUUCUAUAUGUGUUCUAAUUAUAUUUUUAUCUUUCUUUGAUACAUAUGGUUUGAUAUGGGUGAGCGAAUGGAACGCUUUGCAGCAGCCUGUUGCAUCGGUAUUCUUUGGCUGGCUGUUACAAUUGGUUUUUGAGAUACCAAACGCCUCAGAAAUGCUGCAGGUGCUUGGAUCACUAUUGCCCUUUCACUCUUCUUCCUUGAAGGUUCUUGAUAGUCCAUCCUUAUGUUCUCAAAGUUGAAGAACAAAAUUUGUCCAUGGAGAUAUUGAGAACAUGGGUGAAAAACAUGUAUAUCUCAUUUACCAUCCAGACAGCACUAUGAUUAAAUAUCAAACUUUUAAAGGCAAAUUAACUUUUAAGUAUUUAAUAAAAUUCUUUUUAUUGUAGUAGUAUGUGUCCAUAUGGUUAUAUGUUCUAGCUCCAAAAUUUGCAGUGCAAAUUGGGCUUUUACAAUAAGAGAAGUGAAAUCUAUGUACAAAAAAUUACAUUGGAUGCAUAAUGAAUUAUUUUUGCCUUC